GAUGAACGCUAGCGGGAGGCUUAACACAUGCAAGUCGAGGGGUAGGGAAGCAAUUCCUGAGACCGGCGGACGGGUGCGUAACGCGUAUGCAACCUGCCUUAUACAGGGGGAUAGCCCAUGGAAACGUGGAUUAACACCCCAUAGGAUUACGGGAUCGCAUGAUUUUGUGAUUAAAACUGAGGUGGUAUACGAUGGGCAUGCGUCUGAUUAGGUAGUUGGUAGGGUAAUGGCCUACCAAGCCGACGAUCAGUAGGGGUUCUGAGAGGAUUACCCCCCACACUGGUACUGAGACACGGACCAGACUCCUACGGGAGGCAGCAGUGAGGAAUAUUGGUCAAUGGCCGGAAGGCUGAACCAGCCAUCCCGCGUGCAGGAUGACGGCCCUAUGGGUUGUAAACUGCUUUUGUACCUGAAGAAUAGGCCCAACGAGUUGGGAUUUGCCGGUAAGGUAUGAAUAAGCAUCGGCUAACUCCGUGCCAGCCGCCGCGGUAAAAC
rnacentral:rRNA from 1 species